GAUGAACGCUGGCGGCGUGCCUAAUACAUGCAAGUCGAACGAGGUGCUUCUGUAGCAAUACGAGAGUAUCCUAGUGGCGAACGGGUGAGUAACGCGUGGAUGACCUGCCCCAAAGUGUGGGAUAACAGUCCGAAAGGAUUGCUAAUACCUCAUGUGGUUAUCGGUUUUAGAAAGCGAUAACUAAAGCAGCAAUGCGCUUUGGGAGGGAUCUGCGUCCCAUCAGCUAGUUGGUGAGGUAACGGCUCACCAAGGCGACGACGGGUAGGGGACCUGAGAGGGUGGCCCCCCACAAUGGAACUGAAACACGGUCCAUACACCUACGGGUGGCAGCAGUAGGGAAUAUUGCUCAAUGGGCGAAAGCCUGAAGCAGCAACGCCGCGUGUGCGAUGAAGGCCU
rnacentral:rRNA from 1 species